AAUUGCGAUCUUAAACUUGUGCAUUGAACAUAUAUAACCAGAUAUUGUAAAUAUAUCGGAUCUUAUGUGUUUAUUAAAAGAAAACUAGUGUGUGAAAAUACAUUAAAUAGAGUGAAAGUAACGUUUUUCUAUUGCCAAAACAAAUGCUUGGAGUCAACUUGGCAGUAAUUCCAGUUUCGUCCACAAAGAGUCGCUGUGGUUCCACAGAAAUACAACUACACCAUCUUCACUCUGAACGCGUUGUUGUCUCCCCAAUCAGUGCACCUGAGUCCAACUGGCCGUCCGCAGCCUCCUGUGCUCGGCUAAGUAGCAUUACCAUUCGGUCAACGAACUGUUCCCGUCAGUGUUCAAAAGCUGAAUGCAACGAUUAGAAGGAAAUAUUUCUUUCUGAGAAUUAAUACAAAAUGAGACAUGGCGUGAGUUUGUGGCCUCCCUAUCCCCCAGCCCUGGCUACACUUGCCUCCCUGUUUUCCACCCAAAUCCCCCCUCGUCCCUCACGGUGCGCAGGCAACUGUUAGCGCAGCGUUUUACGGAGUUUUUCUUUACCGCGGUUUGCAAACGAAUAAACUAAAAAGUUUGUCAGCGAACAUAAAGUUUUGUGGAGGGAAGUUGAAUUCCCGCUGUGGUUGACUGUUUUUGGACUUCACAUCGUACAGUUGUUCACUUCCGUUGUCAACAGAAAAACCGCCAUUUUCUAACAGCAGAUACUAAUUGUGUGGGGAGGUAAACACAGCAGUCAACUGGAGAGGAUGGCGAGUCAAGCGUGAAUAUCAAUCUCACGACAUCAGUGUCAUCAGGUGACUUUGACGGAGUUGAGACGGGAGCUCAUUAGGAAAGUGGAGCUGAGCGUGGGGGGCGGGGGCCAACCAGCAUCCUGUCCAAGGACUCUGAAGUGGAGAAGACCUGCAGAGUUUACCAGCUAACAGACUAUCUCCGCUCCGGCAACACCAUUUAUUCUGCUGUGAAGACAAGCCAAUCUUGUUUUGUGUGCGUGUUCCCCUCCUGAAAAGCUGCCUGGGCUUACCUGUAUCUCCGGCUUCAUCAGCCUCCUGAUGAAACCCAUACUGGCC